UACGUAGGGGGCAAGCGUUGUCCGGAUUUAUUGGGCGUAAAGGGCUCGUAGGCGGUUUGUCGCGUCGGGAGUGAAAACACCGGGCUUAACUCGGUGCUUGCUUCCGAUACGGGCAGACUAGAGGCAUGCAGGGGAGAACGGAAUUCCUGGUGUAGCGGUGAAAUGCGCAGAUAUCAGGAGGAACACCGGUGGCGAAGGCGGUUCUCUGGGCAUGUCCUGACGCUGAGGAGCGAAAGCGUGGGGAGCGAACAGG
rnacentral:rRNA from 1 species